UGUUCUGUUGCAUUGCAGGGUGCUUUGUGCGGAUAGUUCUUGAACAAUGUAAUUCAUGUAUUUGUAUGAUUUGAGUUCAGCUUCAGAGACUCAGUUUCAGAGACUCACCCUGUUUGUUAUUUGCGGUUUAUUGAUAUUUUUGUAGAUUCAACCAUACUUGCACCCAAUCUACAGCAAAUGCACUUUUGAAAUCCACAAAACACCUGGCCAGAGAAGGCACAGGGUUCAGGUGGUGAGAGGAUGUAAAUUGCUCGUCCCGCCUACAGUUAAUUAGCUUCCGGCAUAAUAUGGCAAUUAUGUUAAAGAGCUGCACCUGCAGAUACCCAUUACAGAACAGCAAGUUAUGAGAGCCUCUCAUAUCUGUGCAACAUUUAAUUUUGGCCUCAAUGCUUUUCAGGAGAGCAUACUUAAUAAAUAAUUGAGUUUUGUCUUAGUGUGUAUUAUACGCGUAGGAGCAGCUAACACUUGGGCGGAGUGAUAGCGCAGCACACGAGACGCGCCGUGGUGAGGAGCAGAGAGUUCGCACGGAGUUGGAGUCAGCAAAUACUAGAUAGUAAAUUUAUAGUGUACAAUCAUGGGUCUUUGCUGUAUUGUAAAAAGCUGCGACAACAAACAGGGGAGAACAGGUAAUACUAUGAUGUUUCAUAGAAUUCCAACCAAAAACGCUGACCUGAUGAAUCGAUGGCUACUUGUUCUGGAUGACUAUUUUGAAAAAAUGCAAGUGGCCACACGGACCAUGAAACGUGUGCUAAAGGAUACAGCCAUCCCAUCGAUAAAGACAGGACAAAUUGGAUCACCUGUUGCUGAGGUAAGUGUUACGUUAUGUUUUGAGAUGACUAACAUUAGCCAUACUGUAACAGUGCCAUGCUAA
rnacentral:lncRNA from 1 species